UGAGUACACAGAACUCUGCAGUCUCUGGA
rnacentral:piRNA from 1 species